CAAAGGACCGCUCGGAUUCUGGGAAGAUGAAGAACGCUGAUGUAUGCGAUAAGCGCCGUGAUACUCAUAAUUGACCGGUGAUGUUCGAAUAUGUAAUGAUACCCCUUGAACUUAAGCAUAUCAUUAAAGGGAGGAAUAGAAACUAACAAGGAUUUUCUUAGUAGUGGCGAAUGAACAGAAAAUAGCCCUAAUGGUAAACAUUUUAAUUAAUGAGUUGUAAUGUAUAUUAAAAAGAUACUCUUGAAAAGGAGACCAAUAUAGGGUGAAAGGCCCAUUAUAUAUAUACUUAGGGUAUAGAGUAGUCUUGUUUGGUAGUGCAAGAUGAAUAUUGGUGGUAGCGAUCAUCAAAGGCUAAAUACAACAGAAUACCGAUAGCAAAUAAGUAGCGCGAGCGAAAGCAAAAAAUCUGAAAAGAUUUAUAAGUAAGCGAAAUUGUCAUGUAUGGAAGCUAUUUUAAUAGACCCGUCUUGAAACACGGACCA
rnacentral:rRNA from 1 species